AUCGCUUCUCGGCCUUUUGGCUAAGAUCAAGUGUAGAAGCUAUAUCUGCAUUUAGUCACCAGUCCUCAGUUUACUUGGAAAAACACUGAUAUUUGCUUGAGGAAACAUCAUCUUUGUAGCCUGAAAGGGCUGAAUGUUGUUUUGCCUUUUACUAACUAGAAACCUGACUUCCCCAAGGAUCAGGUUUUAGAUUUCUUUCU